CUACGGGGCGCUGCAGUUAAGAAUAUUCUGCAAUGCGCGCAAGCGUGACAGAUUGAGCCAGAGUGCGUUCCUAUUGGAACGCUUUUGCCGAAUGUAAAAAGUUCGGCGAAUAAGGACUGGGUAAGACUAGUGCCAGCCGCCGCGGUAAUACUAGCGGUCCGAGUCGCAGCCAUUUUUAUUGGGUCUAAAACAUCCGUAGCUUGCUUAAUAAGUUUCCUGUGAAAUUUUAUGUCUUAAACAUAGAGCGGGCAGGAAGUACUGUUAAGCUAGAGACUGGAAGGCGUGGGAAGUAUGUUCAAAGUAGCGGUAAAAUGUGUUAAUCUUGGACAGACUCACAAUAGCGAAGGCAUCCUACGAGGACAGUUCUGACAGUAAGGGAUGAAGGCCAGGGGCGCAAAACGGAUUAGAUACCCCCGUAGUC
rnacentral:rRNA from 1 species